rnacentral:tRNA from 1 species
GUCAUUAUAGCUUAAAUAUUUAAAGCAUGGCACUGAAGAUGCCAAGAUGGACAAUAACACUCCUAACGACA